GACGAACGCUGGCGGCGCGCUUAACACAUGCAAGUCGAACGGAGAGGCCCUGCUUUUGUGGGGUGCUCGAGUGGCGAACGGGUGAGUAACACGUGAGUAACCUGCCCUUGACUUUGGGAUAACUUCAGGAAACUGGGGCUAAUACCGGAUAGGAGCUCCUGCUGCAUGGUGGGGGUUGGAAAGUUUCGGCGGUUGGGGAUGGACUCGCGGCUUAUCAGCUUGUUGGUGGGGUAGUGGCUUACCAAGGCUUUGACGGGUAGCCGGCCUGAGAGGGUGACCGGCCACAUUGGGACUGAGAUACGGCCCAGACUCCUACGGGAGGCAGCAGUGGGGAAUAUUGCACAAUGGGCGGAAGCCUGAUGCAGCAACGCCGCGUGCGGGAUGACGGCCUUCGGGUUGUAAACCGCUUUCGCCUGUGACGAAGCGUGAGUGACGGUAAUGGGUAAAGAAGCACCGGCUAACUACGUG
rnacentral:rRNA from 1 species